GACGAACGCUGGCGGCGUGCUUAACACAUGCAAGUCGAACGGAAAGGCCCUGCUUUUGUGGGGUGCUCGAGUGGCGAACGGGUGAGUAACACGUGAGUAACCUGCCCUUGACUUUGGGAUAACUUCAGGAAACUGGGGCUAAUACCGGAUAGGAGCUCCUGCUGCAUGGUGGGGGUUGGAAAGUUUCGGCGGUUGGGGAUGGACUCGCGGCUUAUCAGCUCGUUGGUGGGGUAGUGGCUUACCAAGGUUUUGACGGGUAGCCGGCCUGAGAGGGUGACCGGCCACAUUGGGACUGAGAUACGGCCCAGACUCCUACGGGAGGCAGCAGUGGGGAAUAUUGCACAAUGGGCGGAAGCCUGAUGCAGCAACGCCGCGUGCGGGAUGACGGCCUUCGGGUUGUAAACCGCUUUCGCCUGUGACGAAGCGUGAGUGACGGUAAUGGGUAAAGAAGCACCGGCUAACUACGUGCCAGCAGCCGCGGUGAUACGUAGGGUGCGAGCGUUGUCCGGAUUUAUUGGGCGUAAAGGGCUCGUAGGUGGUUGAUCGCGUCGGAAGUGUAAUCUUGGGGCUUAACCCUGAGCGUGCUCUCGAUACGGGUUGACUUGAGGAAGGUAGGGGAGAAUGGAAUUCCUGGUGGAGCGGUGGAAUGCGCAGAUAUCAGGAGGAACACCAGUGGCGAAGGGCGGUUCUCUGGGCCUUUCCUGACGCUGAGGAGCGAAAGCGUGGGGAGCGAACAGGCUUAGAUACCCUGGUAGUCCACGCUGUAAACGGUGGGUACUAGGUGUGGGGUCCAUUCCACGGGUUCCGUGCCGUAGCUAACGCUUUAAGUACCCCGCCUGGGGAGUACGGCCGCAAGGCUAAAACUCAAAGGAAUUGACGGGGCCCCGCACAAGCGGCGGAGCAUGCGGAUUAAUUCGAUGCAACGCGUAGAACCUUACCUGGGUUUGACAUGGAUCGGGAGUGCUCAGAGAUGGGUGUGCCUCUUUUGGGGUCGGUUCACAGGUGGUGCAUGGCUGUCGUCAGCUCGUGUCGUGAGAUGUUGGGUUAAGUCCCGCAACGAGCGCAACCCUUGUUCACUGUUGCCAGCACGUUAUGGUGGGGACUCAGUGGAGACCGCCGGGGUCAACUCGGAGGAAGGUGGGGAUGACGUCAAGUCAUCAUGCCCCUUAUGUCCAGGGCUUCACGCAUGCUACAAUGGCUGGUACAGAGAGUGGCGAGCCUGUGAGGGUGAGCGAAUCUCGGAAAGCCGGUCUCAGUUCGGAUUGGGGUCUGCAACUCGACCUCAUGAAGUCGGAGUCGCUAGUAAUCGCAGAUCAGCAACGCUGCGGUGAAUACGUUCCCGGGGCU
rnacentral:rRNA from 1 species